rnacentral:sRNA from 2 species
CUUGCAAUGCUGUGUGUUUUCUGGCGACAGGAGCGUGGUCUUUAAUAUUCAUUCAAUUUGGGCUAGGCCCGGAGCAGUGAGCGCGAAUAAGUCUGUAACGGGCGUGCUGCGGAUUGCACCGUUUGUACCAUCUGCACUAUCUAUCUGCAACGGGUGUACAGACAGACUAAGCACUAUCCUAAUACAGAUUACAAAUUGAUUAAGAAAAGAAAGAGAAAAGAGAUCAGGAGAAAAGGCUGUAUGAAGGGGGUUCUUAUAGAGGAGGAAUCAGCAUGGAAGAAUAUUGGAGGUCGCGCUAUAGUGGAGUGCAGGGCAGAAGAACAUCAAGGGUUACACAGAGGAGAAUCAUGAGAGACUAUGUGAUCAGAGAAGGGGAGCGUUCUUAGGCGCGCGGUAGGG